rfam:Glossina brevipalpis unplaced genomic scaffold Scaffold18, whole genome shotgun sequence.
UUUAGUAUGUAGGCGCCAUGGAUGGCGAAUCGUGCAUGCUACUGGCACGGGCCGGUAGUAUCUAUGAAGAUUC